rnacentral:rRNA from 1 species
UCGUCACACUAUCAUUAACUGAAUCCAUAGGUUAAUGAGGCGAACCGGGGGAACUGAAACAUCUAAGUACCCCGAGGAAAAGAAAUCAACCGAGAUUCCCCCAGUAGCGGCGAGCGAACGGGGAGGAGCCCAGAGCCUGAAUCAGCAUGUGUGUUAGUGGAAGCGUCUGGAAAGGCGCGCGAUACAGGGUGACAGCCCCGUACACAAAAGCGCAUGUGCUGUGAGCUCGAUGAGUAGGGCGGGACACGUGGUAUCCUGUCUGAAUAUGGGGGGACCAUCCUCCAAGGCUAAAUACUCCUGACUGACCGAUAGUGAACCAGUACCGUGAGGGAAAGGCGAAAAGAACCCCGGCGAGGGGAGUGAAAAAGAACCUGAAACCGUGUACGUACAAGCAGUGGGAGCACCCUUUG